CCUACGGGCGGCAGCAGUGAGGAAUAUUGGUCAAUGGACGCAAGUCUGAACCAGCCAUGCCGCGUGCAGGAAGACGGCUCUAUGAGUUGUAAACUGCUUUUGUACGAGGGUAAACGCAGAUACGCGUAUCUGUCUGAAAGUAUCGUACGAAUAAGGAUCGGCUAACUCCGUGCCAGCAGCCGCGGUAAUACGGAGGAUUCAAGCGUUAUCCGGAUUUAUUGGGUUUAAAGGGUGCGUAGGCGGUCGGAUAAGUUAGAGGUGAAAUCCCGAGGCUCAACUUGGGAAUUGCCUCUGAUACUGUUCGGCUUGAGAGUAGUUGCGGUAGGCGGAAUGUAUGGUGUAGCGGUGAAAUGCUUAGAGAUCAUACAGAACACCGAUUGCGAAGGCAGCUUACCAAGCUACUUCUGACGUUGAGGCACGAAAGCGUGGGGAGCAAACAGGAUUAGAUACCCCAGUAGUC
rnacentral:rRNA from 1 species